ACUACGGGUGGCAGCAGUGGGGAAUAUUGCGCAAUGGGCGAAAGCCUGACGCAGCGACGCCGCGUGAGGGAUGAAGGUCUUCGGAGCGUAAACCUCUGUCAGCAGGGAAGAACGGUCACGGUGCUAAGCAGCAGUGAAUUGACGGUACCUGCAAAGGAAGCACCGGCUAACUCCGUGCCAGCAGCCGCGGCAAUACGGAGGGGGAGAGCGUUAAUCGGAAUGACUGGGCGAAAAGCGCUCGUAGGCGGUACGUCCAGUCAAGGGGGAAAUCCCCCCGCUCAACGUGGGAACUGCCUUUGAAACUGGCAGCCUGGAUUGUGUGUGAGGCUAUUGGAAUUCCUGGUGUAGCCG
rnacentral:rRNA from 1 species